rnacentral:lncRNA from 1 species
GUGGUUGAGAGACAGAACAGUUUGACUUGAGCACUAACUUUCUCAUUCUUAGCAAGUUUCAUAUCAGAGGUUUUGUGAUAUUUUCAAAAGAAAGCUUAAAUGUUCCUCUUAUGGUUCUCUCAUGUCACUCAAAUGGUGUAUGAUUCCUCACCAAGGCAUAUGGUAAGAGUUGCCUUCUCUAUUUCAUCCUAUUUCUAAAAGGCUUAUGUGGAGUUCAAGGUAGGGAUGAAAGGAGAUAGCAUACUUACUUUGCAUAUAUUGCGAAGUCAAAGCUCGGAUCCUUGAAGAGAAGUGUCAUACUCCCAGAUCAAGAUGUGCAAGUGUGAUAUAUGGUGGACUAGGUUGCUCCUUUAUUUGAUAGACUCUCUAUGUAUUGAGACAUGGCUAGCAUUUUUUUCUUCUUUUUUUUUUAUAUAUGAGCUUUCAUGUGCUCAAUUUUCUUUUUCUGUGGACUUGCACAUGUCCAUCUUUUUAUUUCAUUUUGCCUAGCCUUUUGAUGUCUCAUUUACCAAAUAAUGCUUAGAGAGAUGUUCUAACAUUUAGAGUAUGGAGCAACCUAUUUAGUGGAUGCGAAAUACAUGUGGUUGCGUACUUCCAGUGUAGAAGCAGCAUAUAUAUAUGUGGUGUGUACGUGAUCCUGAUCUUAGGAGCAUGAAAAGUCUCUUAACAAGGGUCAACAAGACUUGACGACACUCAACCCAAAGCAAAUAGCUUAUGUGGAAAGGUUGCAAUUAUGUAAAGUAGAUAUGGCUGUGGUAGGAAUUCAUCACCAUUGAGGAACAAUUAAGGUUUUGAUCAUUUUAAGAAUAAAUCUCUGAUAAUCAUGCAUGCUUAGAAAAAUAUUAUAGUAGCUCUUGUCUUACUAUCUCAUGUCCCACAACAACUUAGACUUAGUUCUAGCACUUGCAACCCACAAAGUUUUUAGGUUCAUGGCAGUUUAAGUGAGCUAAGUGAUCCAUACUUAGAGAAAUACUAAGUUGCAUACUAGGCACUAGAGAAACAUUAACAAGCAACUAGUCAUCAUUUCCAUGAGGGAUAUAAACAUACAUGAAGCAUAUAUGCUAAAGGGAAAUGCUAAUAAAUAUUUAAUUUUUUUUUAAGUAAGAAUGAUAAAAUGCAUGAAAAUAAAUAGGAUAGAAUACUUACCUUAGUGGGGGAGAGGAUCUCCCCCAAGCUAGAUCUUCGCUCACUGUGGUGGCGGGAAAUUCUGGUACCAUCCAGCCCAGCGUUGUGCGUCUUCCUCUCGCACACGUCGGAUAUGUUGGCCGUUUUGUAACGCCAGUUGCAAUGUUGCUUCUUGCCCAAUCUGC